UACGUAGGAGGCAAGCGUUGUCCGGAAUUACUGGGCGUAAAGCGCGUGUAGGUGGUGGGACAAGUCUGCUGUGAAAGCGCCUGGCUUAACCGGGCGAGGUCGGCGGAAACUGUCCGACUCGAGGACGGUAGGAGGGGGUGGAAUUCCCGGUGUAGUGGUGAAAUGCGUAGAGAUCGGGAGGAACACCUGUGGCGAAGGCGGCCCCCUGGGCCGGCCCUGACACUGAGACGCGAAGGCGUGGGGAGCGAACGGG
rnacentral:rRNA from 1 species